UGCCAGUGUCCUACGCCAAAGCGGCCUCCUUCAUAUCGUCCUCAAUCCCUUCUCACCUCAAACAGUAAGGCACGAAUCUAAUCCCUACACAGUCCUCAAUUAUUGGUCUGCUCCUUACUCUUAGAUAAAUCACUUCCUUUCGCGAAAUGUAUCGUUAUCAUCAGUGAAGCCAACACAAAAACGUAGUUUUCAAUCUCCUCCAUCAAAAUUGAACCCAUCACUGGUCCGCGUGAACUCUGCAACUCCUUAAUCGAUUAAUGAAAAGCGCAUUAACGCAACCGAUUAACCUCUCUUCGGAUGAAUCCAAAUCCAAUAAGGUUCAGAGAGCGGAGAUUUGCUAGUAGAUUUGUUAUUAAAUGAGAAUUUCUUCUUCGGUACAAGCACGGCGUUCAGACUAUCGAGAGACUGCUUAAGUUCCGAGACGGUUUUGAGAGAGGAGCAGAGCUCGUAGGAAGGAAGAAAGUAGGAGUUCUCGGUGACAAGUCGUUCGAGGGAGGACAUAGAGGAGGAAAUAUCGAUGAGAUGAGAUUUCAGGCGAGUGGCAUAGGUGGUGGCAAGUUUCGAUGACUCGGCAAGUAGGGACUCAAUUGAGCGUUGGGAGUCGGAGAAAUUGGAGAGGAAAGGGGUGGCGGAAUCAGUGGUGGAGGAGGAGGAUUUGGUGCGUGUUUGGUGCCGCUUAGAGAGGCGAUCGAGCAUUGCUUGGUGCUUUUUAUGAAAGGUAAGGUCUAGGGGUUUGGUUGGAGGUGGAGAGAUCGUGGUGCUGUCGCCUGUUCUUCUUGCUGUUCUUGUCACCAGCUAGGCGGGAGCUUGUAGUAAGGAAUCAAGGAAUGAUGAAUUUGAUCGCGUUUAAAUGGUUGAUGAGUGGGUCGAACGACAGCGUUUUGGUACCUGUUGUGUCUUGAAACUGGCCCAAAAUUUUCUAAAGUAGGUAUCGGAUACAUAGAAACAAAAACAAGUGGAUUUUUUUUUCCCUAAAUUAAAGGCGAAAACAAGGAACAGUAACACAGAA